UCCUGGAUAGCUCAGUCGGUAGAGCAAGCGGCUGUUAACCGCUUGGUCGCAGGUUCGAGUCCUGCUCCAGGAGCCA
rnacentral:tRNA from 1 species